GGAAGAGGGAGGAGAAGAGGGGGCUUCUCCGGGACCAGACCCCCAAGCCAGGCCAGAGGAGACCCGUGGCUUCAGACUGCACCCCCUUGGUCUGAGCUUUGCCUCGGUUGGAGAAGAAAGGCACUGAUGCCAGCACGAGCGUGUGGAAGGAGAAAAUGUCUGAAGGGCUCGGGAAGAACCAGGCUCCUAAAAUUUGACUUGAGCAUCCAUUGGUGAAGCUGCUUUCCUAGAAAAGAACUGGGUCCAGAGCCUCCUGAAAACUUGAGAAGGAAGGCCCCCUCGCCGGCCAUCAUCCUGUUCCUUGCAUGCCCCAAGCUUCCUCCUGCUGUGGGGUCUUUGUCCUGCGGUUCCUUCUGCCUUGAACACUGUCCUCUGAGAUCAUGGCUGGCUCCUUCACAUCAUGUGAGUCUCUGCUCAAAUGUCAUCCUCUCAGAUCAGUGAAUCCAA
rnacentral:lncRNA from 1 species